rnacentral:rRNA from 1 species
GCUUACCCCUUUUACCUUUUGCAUAAUGAUUUAACUAGAAUAAACUUAGCAAAGAGAACUUAAGCUAAGCACCCCGAAACCAGACGAGCUACCUAUGAACAGUUACAAAGAACCAACUCAUCUAUGUCGCAAAAUAGUGAGAAGAU